UACGUAGGGGGCGAGCGUUAUCCGGAAUUAUUGGGCGUAAAGGGUCCGCAGGUGGCCAUGUGUGUCUGCUGUCAAAGAAUGAGGCUUAACCUCAUCAAGGCAGUGGAAACUACAAGCUAGAGUACGGUCGGGGUAGAAGGAAUUCCUGGUGUAGCGGUGAAAUGCGUAGAGAUCAGGAAGAACACCGGUGGCGAAAGCGUUCUGCUAGGCCUGUACUGACACUGAGGGACGAAAGCUAGGGGAGCGAAUGGG
rnacentral:rRNA from 1 species